rnacentral:rRNA from 1 species
AACGUAGGGGGCGAGCGUUAUCCGGAAUCACUGGGCGUAAAGGGCGUCUAGGCGGUCCAGUAAGUCCUGCGUGAAAGCUCCCGGCUCAACUGGGAGAGCGCGUGGGAUACUGUUGGGCUAGAGACUCGGAGAGGGGUGUGGAAUUCCCGGUGGAGUGGUGAAAUGCGUUGAGAUCGGGAGGAACACCAGUGGCGAAGGCGGCACCCUGGCCGAGUUCUGACGCUGAAGCGCGACAGCGUGGGGAGCAAACGGG